rnacentral:rRNA from 1 species
UAAUACUAGCGGUCCAAGUCGCAGCCAUUUUUAUUGGGUCUAAAACAUCCGUAGCUUGUUUGGUAGGUUUCUUGUGAAAUUUUGCAUCUUAAAUGUAGAGCGCGCAAGAAAUACUGCCAAGCUAGAGACUGGAAGACGUGAGAAGUAUGUUCAAAGUAGCGGUAAAAUGUGUUAAUCUUGAGCAGACUAACAAUAGCGAAGGCAUCUCACGAGGACAGUUCUGACAGUAAGGGAUGAAGGCUAGGGGCGCAAAACGGAUUAGAUACCCGUGUAGUCCUAGCAGUAAACACUGCACACUAAACAUUAGUACCUCCUCGAGAGGUAUUGGUGCUGAAGGGAAGCUGAAGAGUGUGCUACCUGGGAAGUAUAGUCGCAAGGCCG